AGGCAGAGACCAGAAGACACAAAAUCCUUUGUGAAAGCGAGAUAUACAUUAGAAUUUCCAGGAUUCGUGCUGGUGUAUGCAAUGCGAGUUAAUCUUCAGCUACCAUUGUAUCGAUGGUUAAUCAGAUGGCCUACCCUGAUAAUAUUGACCUCAAUGAUUCCUCUCUUGUCAAUGAUACAUUUGUACCCUGCAUAAGAAAUAUUGACGUAAAAAUGAUAGAAGAAUCCAAAGACUCAUCAGAUUCGCCAGAAUACAAACCGAGUCUCCUCAAGUACUGCUCGCUGACAUAUGAUCUCCACAACAACCCUUCUGAAGGAAGAGACCUUGGUGAGACAGAAGAUGUCUUGGUUAGGCAUCGAUCCUAACGCUAUACAAUUUGUGAGCCAAUUCUGUAGGUAUUAGUAACCGGAGGUACUUCCACUGGAACCUGAAUCUUACGCCUUCGUUGAGCAUCCUCUUCCUGAAAAACGUCAAACAGAAAAAAAUCUGGAAGGGGACGAUAUUUGACGCGUUGUCGCACGUUUCAAAGAAAGUUCAGAUUUUUUUCUAGUCGGGCUCGCACAAACUCAAUGAGUUUGGAUAUUGGAAGCUCACCAGUCAAAAUCUUUCGGAGCUGCUGAUCGCCAGGAAUGAGCAAGCGAUCAUUGACCGCAAGCGCUUAGCCAAGUCCCAGUAGGUCCAGGAAGACCAGUAGCACCUGCAUCAGAGCAGCGCCAACUCUCCCGCUGAAGAGUCCAGCUCUGACAACUAUGGAGACUCCUCCAUAACCGUCACUUCGUCUAUGUUCUCACGUAAGUACGUUCAAGCCUCCGAGAUUUUAUCAGACUUUUUUUUUUGCAGACGACGAGGCUCCCGGGAGUCGGGAACCAGACCUCAAUCUCGAAAACUGCAAGUUUGUAGUGAAAAACGAGCAGGAUCUGGACCACAUGCUGAUUGACAAGGACCAAGGUUUGGAUCAGCUGUUUGAUGAUAAUCACCACCGGUUCAUUGUUCCUGACCAAAAUUUCGAGAGUUAUAUUGAUGAUUGUCGUCCAGUUAAGAAUCAGGGAGUUGAUCAGCUGAUCAGGAAAGAUCAAGGUUUGGAUUCAGGGCAUCAUAGGUUUAGUGAGAAAGAUUUUGGUAGAUAUGUUAAUAUUUAUAAUUUAUCACUAAUAAAGCAUAAAAUCAAAAAAAAAAAUUUGAUCUAAACAGGUUAA